GUUCAGAGUAGCUUAUUGGACAUGGCAUCUGCCUGGUAAGCGGAACACUGAGGAUUCGAUUCCCUACCUGGACA
rnacentral:tRNA from 1 species